GGAAGCAGGAUAACAGAGGUGCAUUUGGGGGGCGCAACUCUCCCACCAAUAAUUGUAAAAUGCUGCGGCGAUGGCCGCUGUUAAAGAAAAAAAUGCCAAUCACAUUGCAGCUUGUCUUUUCUGUGGAGCCAAUCACAACGUAGCUUGGUUUUUCGGGCGCAAGAUUUCCAGAUCGGUUAACCAAUCGAGGCUUCCCUUCAAAAGCAGAGCCCAAUUGAAGCAACGGUGGAGGGUGGGUCUUGAAGAAUUCUGCCCGCCGGCCUCUCAUUAUAGCCCGUGAGCUCAGCUGACCAAUGGAAGAGCGGCGACUGACCGUGGUGGCCAAUAGCAUGCCACGACUAUGAUAGCCCCGCCUUCAGCUGUGGAAUGCGCGGAAUGCAAGAUGGCGCGGCCUCUCGAGGAGCCGGAGGAUCGGAGCGCUGAAGUGCGGGAACGCUGGGCAAGUCAGCCGUGGCGGUGAAGUCGGUUGCAACGCUAGAGCACCGAAGGGAAAAAGACAACAAAAACACGACAAGACGAUGGGGGGCACACAGUGGCAGGAGAAUGGCAGCGAUGUUUCCCUAAUCUGUCCACCACAUUGUACCCAACGGGCCUGAUAGAUGAAGAGAAUCUUGCGCCAUGGGCAUUUGGAACCAGCAGGUAAAUUCUGCCAAGCCAGUGAGCACUGACUCACAGGAAUGCACUCCUUGAAGCCGUCAUUUUCCCCCAAAAGGCAAAAGACUCUCGUAGCAGGGAAGAAUAAAGAUGCAUCACCUGAACCGCCGAGUUGUCAGGAUGUUUUUCCCUCAUGCACAAAUGAUGAAGGUCAAGCCCCAUUGCUAUAUAUACAAAAAGAAAUGGCCUGCAACACAUUUGGAAUUAACCGUGGGGGUCCCGAGCCCCUGUUUCCUGGGCCUUUUCUUUAACCUCCUUGGUUCACAAGUGACUGGCAGGAUCCUUGCACCUCCCGCUAUUCCCAUUUGAACUGGGGGCUGACCCCCUUUUUGUGUUGUACUACUGUCCGCCAUCCGAGCUGAGCAGUGCAACAAUAAAAAGGGCAUCAGCCUGCUGGACUGUCUGCACACAGUUGGCGAGGCAGUGGGCACAAACCAUUGUUAAGGGCGCCGUGCAGUUAGCAGUGAACUUGCUUGUGUACUUUUAAUGAAUAAAAUCCUUUAUUUUGUUUUGCUGUGA